AUAACGUUCUUGAUAUGGUUUGGCUAUGUCUCCACUCAAAUCUCAACUUGAAUUAUAUCUUCCAGAGCUCCCACAUGUUGUGGGAGGGACCCAGGGGGAGGUAACUGAAUCACGGGGCCGGUCUUUCCCAUGCUAUUUUCGUGAUAGUGAAUAAGUCUCACGAGAUCUGAUGGGUUAAUCAUGGGUUUCCGCUUUUGCUUCUUCCUCAUUUUUCUCUUACUGCCUGUGUAAGAAGUGCCUUUCGCCUCCUGCCGUGAUUCUGAGGCCUCCCCAGCCAUGUGGAACUGAAGCAUGUAUGUGUCACACACUGUUCAAGGUCGCACAUUGCUCAAGGAGCCCACGAGCAAUCAAGGGAGACAGAUCGAGAUGUGAAUUCACUAUGCUGCCCAGGCUGGUCUUGGACUCCUGACUCCAAGUAAUCCUCCCACCUUAGCUUGCCAAAGUGCUGGGCUUACAGUUGAGAGAAUAUCAGCAGAGGAACAGCCCUGAUGUUUGGCAGGAAUAAAGAGGAAGAAAAAGAAAAAAAAUGGCAGUAGCACUGAGACAACCACUUCUGGUGGUUGCCACUCACCUGGGAAUGUGAGUCUUGGCUGACCAGGCUCCUGAGGGCAGGGGGCCCAAAGGGCAGUAGAGGGUAAUUGUUAAGAUUGUGGAAGAACUGUCGGGUACUGGUUAAGAAUUCUGGGUUCGAAUCCUACCUCUCCAUCUGCUAGGGAUAUGAUUUAGGGCAAAUUGCUUGAGUUCUCUUUGGGCCUCCUUUUUCACAUCUGUAAAACAGGGAUGGUAUUGUUUUACAUAUAUUUGUGAGGUUUAAAUGAGAUUUGUUAUCGCUGUUGUUUUUAUGUUAAUCCCUAGUACGGGGCCUGCUGUAAACACCCAGGACAUCCAGGAAAUGGUAGUUGCUGUUUGAUUUUCCUCAUCCCCAGUCUCAAGGGGGAAACCAGGGCAAUGAGAACAGUCAUUUGCCCAUCAGGCUGUCCCUUUAGGAGUUACUGAAAGGGCCCCAGCGUGUGGUGAGGAGAGCCCCAGGCACUAGGAUUAGGAGAUCUAACUUUUGAGUUCAUCUUUGCCAUCAGCUUGCUGAGUGACCACAGAAAAAUCACUUCUUCCACUGGUCCUCAGUUUCCUCCUCUGUAAGAUGAUACUGGGUAAGAUCAGUGUCUUUCGUUUUUUAGCUGGAGCCCCCUUUGUUCAAGUGAACCCUUACUCAGAAGUCUGGUUUUUAAAAUAGAGGUGGAGGUCUUCUGGAGCUCUACCAGAUUCAUCGCCCACGUCCUGGGCCUGAGGAGAGGGGUCCAGUGAGUGUAAUAAGAGCUGCACUGGUCAGGCGACCCCACUCUGUGUGACUGCAUCGCUUAGGGGACUUUCCCAUCUAUUUGUUCCUGCCCCUGGCAAGGCAGCAGGUGGCCAUUUGGUGGGAGGAGGUCAAAACCACAGGUCAUGGUUUUGACCUCCUCCACUCUUCUUCAACAUUUCGUUUCCCUGAACCUAUAUCUUCCUCAUUCCCUGACUUUCUUGCCUCUCUCUAAGUGACUCUUUCUCCCCCUGCCCUUGUUUUUCCCUUUUCGCCUCCUGUAGAUUCAGGACUUUGUGAAGGUGCUGCGUUCCCCACAAUGGACAAAUGGAAGGUGAAACCAAGUGAGUGUCUCCUAUUGGGGCAGCAGCCUCUAGGCCAAGGGAGUCAGGAAGGCCACUGCCCAUGACCUUCUUUCCCAUCAAGCCACCUGCACCCGUGACCCAUGUCUCCACCCCUAGGACUUUCUCAUCGACCAAGAAAGAGCCUGCAGUAACUCUACCAACAGCUCAAUGGUGUUGCCUCUGAGGAAAAUCAAGAAAGCCAGCAAAACCAGGGAACCCUAAAGAGGCAGUUAGAGGUUCAAAUUCAGAGAACCGGCAAACUGAUGUCUGAGAA